UGUCAAGGUUCCAGGACCCAGAGAAGCAAAUGAAUAACGUCCAGUCAACUGCCGCAGCGACCUCCGUGGACUGUGCGAAUGGGCGUCGUACUGACAGUUCCCUUUAUUGAAUCCAGUGCUCGGCUUCCGCCCCUGCAGGCAGGCUCUGGCCCCUUGGAAUCGAAGACCUGUCCAUGCAGGAGAGAGCAGGAAAGAGCGGGCGGAGUGGUAAUUCACUUUUAUCGUAUUUUAUCAAGUUAUCAGUCCGUGAUCGAUGCCAAGAGGGAAGAAAGGGAGUGGUCCUUCACCAGAGAGACUUUGAGAAGCAUUUACUGUGAGCUCCAGGCAAAAGGAGUCGUCGUUUCUGCUCCUUAACUGACCAGCAAGCUUAUUAGAACUGGAGGCAACAAAGUCACGAGGAUCAGUUAUGCUGACAUUUCUGCAACUCUCCCUCAGGAACCGGUAGCCGUGAGGGGUGGUGGAGAGUUCAGGAGUUUGAGGUCCUGACUGCCUUUUGCCUCAGAGAAUGGUCCAGAAACUGGAUACUUCCGUUUGCUUUUUUUUUUUUUUUUGCCUCUUGUCCUCCCAAAGGUUGAUUUGCUUUUGGUAAAACCGAGGCAGCUCCACAAAUACGACAUAUGUUCUCACAAAAAGUUUCCAAGGUGGGAUGGUUGACCCAGACACUCCAAAUGACAUUCCCGUGGAGACUCUGCGGAGGGUGUUUGCAGGCGUCCUGAGUGGCUGGCCCAGGGAUGUGCCCUGAGCAAAUGACAUGAUGCACGUGCGGAGGGCUGCCAGCUGGCUCCGUCCUAAGGAAUAUUCAGAGGAAAUGGCCUGGAGUCAACUCAAUAAUGCCAUCAAGGAUAUCAUACUUAUCAAUAAUGCCAUCAAGGACCUAUACUUUUGCUCUCUUUCUGCUCUGCUCUGCUCUGCUUUACUUUUUGGUUUGUCACCUCAUGGCUACAAAAUGGCUGUUGCAGCACCAGACAUCAUAUCCUUCUUUAAGGCAGGAUAAAGAGAGG